UUUAAUUAAACAUUAUUUUAAAUGUGUCUGUGAAGGCAUUUCUGGAUGAGAUUAACAUUUGAAUCGGUAGACUGAGGAAAAAGAUUGCCCUCCCCACAACUGGUAGGCCUCAUUCAAUUCGUUAAAGUCCUGAAUAGACCAGAGGCUAAGAGAGAACUCACAAAAGGUGGGGUAAGAGGGAAAUCACUCUCUCUACCUGACUGUCACUGACCUAGGCCAUCGUUUGUGUUCUGCCUUCCAACUCGAACUUGGACUGGAACUAGCAUCAUCAGCUCUCCUGGUUCUCACAUCUUCAGACUUGGACUGGGCUAUACCAUUCGUUAUCCUGGGUCUCCAGCUUGACAACUGCAGAUUCUGGACUUUUCAGCCUCCAUAACAGUAUGCCUCCUUGUCUGCAGAAGAGAGAGAUUUCCUGCUCUUCAACCUAGGCUCCCAUCACGCAGUCAUCCAAAGCUACUAUCCUCUCCAGUAAAGAAGACAGACAUUUAUCUUUGCUGAGCACUGACUCUGGAAAUUCCAGCAAUCCUGAAGGAGCUCAAGGAUUCAUGACAGCAUCCACACUCACAUGCACUCACACUGGGCUCCGACAGAUGCACCCCCGUGCUCUUACAGGUAAGAGAUGCUACCCUUCACCAGGCCACUUUGCAUUGCAAGGGUACAUCAAGGAAACAGCCUUCCUUCUCCAACACCCCCUGCAAUCACCACCACCAAAAACUGGAGUUUCCAGUGCUGGAAAUUCUA